AUUGAACGCUGGCGGCAUGCCUUACACAUGCAAGUCGAACGGUAACAGGUCUUCGGAUGCUGACGAGUGGCGAACGGGUGAGUAAUACAUCGGAACGUGCCUAGUAGUGGGGGAUAACUACUCGAAAGAGUGGCUAAUACCGCAUGAGAUCUACGGAUGAAAGCAGGGGAUCGCAAGACCUUGUGCUACUAGAGCGGCCGAUGGCAGAUUAGGUAGUUGGUGGGAUAAAAGCUUACCAAGCCGACGAUCCGUAGCUGGUCUGAGAGGACGAUCAGCAACACUGGGACUGAGACAAGGCCCAGACUCCUACGGGAGGCAGCAGUGGGGAAUUUUGGACAAUGGGCGCAAGCCUGAUCCAGCAAUGCCGCGUGCAGGAUGAAGGCCUUCGGGUUGUAAACUGCUUUUGUACGGAACGAAAAGCCCUGGGUUAAUACCCUGGGGUCAUGACGGUACCGUAAGAAUAAGCACCGGCUAACUACGUGCCAGCCGCCGCAGUAACAC
rnacentral:rRNA from 1 species